CGCCCGCCUGCAGCUUCCGCUGUUGCCUAAGUCGACGCGGAGCGAGCUCCUCCCCAAGCUGCUGACGGCCGACACCUCCACGACUGCAGGCUCCUGCUGGUCUGCUUCAAAAGCACUGACAGAGAAGGCCUGUUUCAAAGGAACACAUCUGUCUGUUGGUGCUUGAGCAUCACACGUUGUGUGGUGCCGCACAAGCACAAUGGGCAGUAGCAGGGUGAUGAUGGUCGUCGUGCUGCCGCACAAGCACAAUGGGCAGUAGCAGGGUGAUGGUGGUCGUCGUGGUGCCGCAAAAGCACAACUGCGUCUUCAUCGCCAAUGCCAAGAACAUGGUCCUUGACUGGGGAUUCUUUCUACGGCAACAACGUAUGCACUCAACAUGUCAAACUUAGGGAAAUGAAGCCAGGUAUGCUGCUCCGAGAACUUAAAGAAGCUCCUGGCAUGCUUGAUGGUGCGCCACUUCCAUGGCUUAUAAACAUGCAGAGAUAUGGUCCUCCACCCUCUUAUCCUUUGCUAAAGAUUCCUGGAGUGAAUGCUCCAAUUUCUCUUGGUGCUACUUUUGGUUACCGACCCGGGGAAUGGGGAAAGCAUCCUGUGGAUGAGGAUUCCUUCGGGCUGUUAUGGUGGUGCUUGUCCGAUUGACAUACGCGUGAUGGACAUCCUCCGUGGCUUCCUGUCAUAUGCUGACAAACUCUACGACCCGACCAUGGGGAAAUAGCGCUUCGUUCAGGGCUGAUGAAGUCGCAAGGGAGGUCCAAGCAACCCGCCAAGUUUGGGGUUUCUAGCACCAGCGGGCUGGUUGGCUGGUCGCCCUCUUCCACCCCAUCUCCAAGGGCCCACUACCACCCACAGCCAAAGAUCAAUGCCCUACUGCUAGUGACGGCGUGUGACCGUGACUGGCUGGAGGAGCUUGCCAUGACGCAAGGAUGGCUGCGGGGAAGCAUGGAGGAUGAGCUGGUGGUCGCCUUCCAAGGCUGCUGCUGCCAGCAGUACGACUGGAGUUGCUGCCUCCGGCGUUUUUCGGCGACCACGCCCCAGAGUUCUACUGCCAGCCACAAUUCUGGGCACCAAUCUGAGCUGCUGCUACUCGUUAUGAGGGAGUGGAGCUUCAGAAGCUCAUAUUGGCUCAUAACAACCUGGAAGUGCUAAUAGAAGUCGUUAGAAAUAUCUUCUCUUGUGGUGUUUCAUAAGCCACAACCAGAUAUGUUCCCUUGCUGCACAGGUCUGAUGGUUCAAAGACGCUGAUGUUCACGAGUAUGGUUCAAGGCCUAAUCCGAGUAAUGGUUGUGAUCUGCAUGCAUAUUCAGGUCGGAGAUACAAGACAUGAAUUCAUGUUUUUUCAUGGCAAGGUAUAAUACUAGAUGGUUUGCAUGCAUCUGAUGAUUCAUCAAUACAAACUUAUGUCAGGAGCAGAUAUUUGGCCAUUGAGCCCUAGGUUAAUUCUUACAAAAUUUUCUGUUUUAACUGAUGAAAUCCCUUUAUAUUUAGAUUCACUAUUAAUUUGCUUGGAAUUUUUAAAUACUGCCUAUAACAUUGGCAUUGCAUGUUUACAUUUUAAAGUUAUCUGGUUAUCGAUUCAGUCAGUGCAU